AUACGGAGGAUCCGAGCGUUAUCCGGAUUUAUUGGGUUUAAAGGGAGCGUAGGUGGGAUAUUAAGUCAGCUGUGAAAGUUUGGGGCUCAACCUUAAAAUUGCAGUUGAUACUGGUUUCCUUGAGUACGGUAUAGGUGGGCGGAAUUCGUGGUGUAGCGGUGAAAUGCUUAGAUAUCACGAAGAACUCCGAUCGCGAAGGCAGCUCACCGGGCCGGAACUGACACUGAUGCUCGAAAGUGCGGGUAUCAAACAGGAUUAGAUACCCUGGUAGUCCGCACAGUAAACGAUGAAUACUCGCUGUUUGCGAUACACUGUAAGCGGCCAAGCGAAAGCGUUAAGUAUUCCACCUGGGGAGUACGCCGGCAACGGUGAAACUCAAAGGAAUUGGCGGGG
rnacentral:rRNA from 1 species